AUUGAACGCUGGCGGCAGGCUUAACACAUGCAAGUCGAGCGGAGAUGAGGUGCUUGCACCUUAUCUUAGCGGCGGACGGGUGAGUAAUGCUUAGGAAUCUGCCUAUUAGUGGGGGACAACAUUCCGAAAGGAAUGCUAAUACCGCAUACGUCCUACGGGAGAAAGCAGGGGAUCUUCGGACCUUGCGCUAAUAGAUGAGCCUAAGUCGGAUUAGCUAGUUGGUGGGGUAAAGGCCUACCAAGGCGACGAUCUGUAGCGGGUCUGAGAGGAUGAUCCGCCACACUGGGACUGAGACACGGCCCAGACUCCUACGGGAGGCAGCAGCGGGGAAUAUUGGACAAUGAGCGGAAGCCUGAUCCAGCCAUGCCGCGUGUGUGAAGAAGGCCUUUUGGUUGUAAAGCACUUUAAGCGAGGAGGAGGCUACCUAGAUUAAUACUCUGGGAUAGUGGACGUUACUCGCAGAAUAAGCACCGGCUAACUCUGUGCCAGCCGCCGCCGUAAGAC
rnacentral:rRNA from 1 species